UCGUGGCUAGUCCGUGGCUAACCACUCCAAAUGCAUACUCUGGGGAGAAUGUCAGCUUUGCGGGUACUGAUCUCCAUCAAUAUCAUGGUGUCUGCUUCAACAAACAGUUCACUUAUGGACAGACAACAGAGAAGUUUCAUACUCCCUGUGGAAGCUAACACUUCCCUGUCUAAGCCUGUGGAUACAAAGGCUGUGCUCUCUUGCCCUCCAAUCACCCAGAAAGCUGUGCUGGUAACAAUAAGAUGGGAAAUAAUCCUCAGAGACAAGCCUUCCUGCACCAGAGCCUACAGGAGAGAUACAAAUGAGACCAGGGCUAUAAACUGUAGUGACGAGACAAUAUCCUGGGACUCCAGACCUGAUCGGAAUCCCGCCCUUCAGAUCGAUCCAGUGGCCAUCACUCAUGAUGGAUAUUACAGGUGUGAAGUGGUCACAACUCAUGGGCAUUUCUAUCAUGGAUAUCACCUGAAAGUGUUAGUGCCCCCCGAGGUGACGCUGUUUCAACUUGAGAAUGAAACUAUCGUGUGUAGGGCAGCUGCAGGGAAGCCAGCGGCGCAGAUCUCCUGGACCCCAGGGGGAGAUUGUCACACUGUGGAAGAGCCACUGGGCAAUGACACAGUGACGGUCCAGAGUUCGUGCCGCUGGGAGGACCACCGGGUAUCUAAUGUGUCCUGCUCUGUGUCCCAUCUGACUGGCAACAGGAGUCUGUCCAUUGAGAGGAAUUCUGGAGACCAGUUACCACAAAAAUUUGUUGUAUGUAUCACCUUCUUUAUUUUGAUUACUUUGGUCAUUGUGGGAUCCAUUUGCCUUUUGAAAAUCGAUGUCUGCAGGUAUUGACAAAUGUUUUUUCUUCCACAGCUUUAUUAAGCCAGAAGGGGUCAGAAAUAGAGAACUGACAGGUGAAAUUAAUAUGCUAACAUCAACUUCCCAUAAUCAAAAAGCACGUCCUAAAUGUCUUAGAUUUGGACUACUCUAAAUGACAGGAGGGAUUUUGCUUGGUCACUUAGGCGUGCAAGCACAGUGAAUUAGUCCAUUUAAGACAGGAUCUUGGGAGAGAUAGUGUAUACUAAAUUUCUAAACCAGUAAAUAUUAAUUCAUUUUAUGUCACAUAUUUUCCAUAUAUUAGGCUUCUGUUUCAUAAUUGCACUUCCUUUUCCAAAAUCUGGAAUUAUCUUGUCUACAUGUAUUAACCAAAAGCAUCAUUCUUAUUUCUGGUAGUUCAGGUCUGAUUUUAUGUAUUCUAUCAAAUAUGAAUCACACUUGUCAAUAGUAUAUUUUUUUGUUUUCCCAUUUUUAACUAAAAAAUGAUGUUUCCUUCAUUCACUCCAGCUUAUUUUUAUAUUUUGCAGAAAAUACUAAUUGAACAGAAAUUACGUCAGUUGUUGAGGAGGAUGAAAUGCAAUCCUAUGCCAGCUACACAGAGAAGAGCAAUCUAUGACACUGUGAGCAGAGUGAGGAGGUCUCAGGUGUUACAAAACGAAGUUGAUGGGCUUCAUAAGUUACUUGAAUCUAGCACCAGAACAAAUGAAUAAAGAAACAGUAAAGCUACUCUUUUGAUUUUCUUAGAAUUCUAGAAUGGAAAAUAUAAUCAGUCUUUGAGAUCUUUUAAAACAACACAGGCAGAGCUAUUGCGUUCAUUUGAAUGGUUACAAAAAUUCCAUUUUAUGGUUAUGUGAAAAUUUAGUUAACCAUAGACCUAAUUAUGGACAUUUAGAUGAUUUAAAUUUUGUUUGUUUUGCUAUUAUAAACAAUACCACACAGAUAUAUCUCUUUGCAUUUGCUUGAGUAUAUUUGUAC